rfam:Oryctolagus cuniculus cont2.76531, whole genome shotgun sequence.
GGGGAGGGAGGUGUGCAGGCUUGGUUGCUGGGGCCACCCAGAUGGCUCAGGAAGGGAAGGAAUGAGCGUGAGGUGGGUGUGGCUGCGGAGAGCACAGCCAGUGGUGGGUUUUCUUGGGGCCCAGAGAGACGUGAGCAGAGAUGGAGGCCCCUCUCGCCCAGCCCCCGCACACACACUAGGACCUUUCUUCA